rnacentral:rRNA from 1 species
CCUACGGGUGGCAGCAGUGGGGAAUAUUGCGCAAUGGGCGAAAGCCUGACGCCGCGACGCCGCGUGAGGGAUGAAGGUCUUCGGAUCGUAAACCUCUGUCAGCAGGGAAGAACGGUCACUGUGCUAAUCAGCAGUGAAUUGACGGUACCUGCAAAGGCAGCACCGGCUAACUCCGUGCCAGCAGCCGCGGUAAUAAGGAGGGUGCGGGCGUUAAUCGGAAUUACUGGGCGUAAAGCGCUCGUAGGCGGUAUGUCAAGUCAAGGGUGAAAGCCCCGCGCUCAACGUGGGAACUGCCUUUGAAACUGGCAAACUGGAGUGUGUGAGAGGAUAGUGGAAUUCCAGGUGUAGGAGUGAAAUCCGUAGAUAUCUGGAGGAACAUCAGUGGCGAAGGCGACUAUCUGGCACAUAACUGACGCUGAGGAGCGAAAGCGUGGGUAGCAAACAGGAUUAGAUACCCGGGUAGUC